UGGGGAAUAUUGGACAAUGGGCGCAAGCCUGAUCCAGCCAUGCCGCGUGAGUGAUGAAGGCCCUAGGGUUGUAAGGCUCUUUCACCGGUGAAGAUAAUGACGGUAACCGGAGAAGAAGCCCCGGCUAACUUCGUGCCAGCAGCCGCGGUAAUACGAAGGGGGCUAGCGUUGUUCGGAUUUACUGGGCGUAAAGCGCACGUAGGCGGACUAUUAAGUCAGGGGUGAAAUCCCGGGGCUCAACCCCGGAACUGCCUUUGAUACUGGUAGUCUUGAGUUCGAGAGAGGUGAGUGGAAUUCCGAGUGUAGAGGUGAAAUUCGUAGAUAUUCGGAGGAACACCAGUGGCGAAGGCGGCUCACUGGCUCGAUACUGACGCUGAGGUGCGAAAGCGUGGGGAGCAAACAGG
rnacentral:rRNA from 1 species